GCGGGACCUGCUUGGCGGCGUGCGGGACUCGGCUGGCUCAGGAUGAGAAAGGGAUCCGGAAGGGUGGAAAGGAAAGGAGGGCUAGGGAGUCAUCUUUGUCCCUUUUCCGGAGCGGAACGCCGCUUUGAGGGAAAAGCGCCUCGCCCUGAAAAUACAAACCCAGAGCCCAGGCAGCGGGUCGUCGUGGGGCCAGCACCCCUCGGGGCUCCGGUCGUGUCCUGAGGCACUCGGGACUGUCCGGACCCCUGGGCCCUUGCUUCAAGAGUUGGCAGUGAUCGGGCAUAUUUAGGGACAAUACUUGUGAUUUCCGGGGCUCAGCACCUGCUCUUGGAUCUUCUCAAGGCCUGCUAGAUUUCAGAAUCUCAAAGGUUUGGCCACUGCACUCCCAACCCCUAAGGAAAGGAUGGGAGAUGAAUUAUUAAAGGACACCGGGGCCAUUAGCAUAUCGGGCCUCACCUCUCUGGGGCCCUUGCCCUUGAGCAACUGAAUGUUUUAUUGAAGAGGAAAAAACAUGCACGAAAAAGUCCUACGUGACCUGCCAACAUAAGCCCUGAGGGCCACCAGACAGGUGCACAAGCUCCUUUUCGGGAGGUACUGGCGAUGUGGAGCACGGCAGAGGGAGCGUGAAAGGUCGCUCCGGCCCUCCAAGGCUCCACACCCAAUGUGGGGCUUGAACUCAUGACCCUGAGACCAAGAGUCACAUGCUCCGCUGACUGAGCCAGCCAGGCACCCCUUGAUGUGGUUUUGUAUCCACCCAACGUAGAUUUAGUUUUCAGAUCUCCUUCAGAGAGAAACUGUUCUGAACGUGGCUCUAGACGUCGUGUGUCGGACAGGAGACAUCUGUACAGGCAGGUGCAAAGUACUGCAAGGCCGACAACUACAAGAAACCAGGAAACAAACGACAUGUAACUGAGAGCUAAUUGCCAAGAUUCAAAAUGUAGCAGCAGAAAUAAAAAUAGAAAAGUCCAUUUGAAAAUUCAUAUGGAAUCUCAAGGGACGAGGAAUAGUUAAAGCAAUCAUGAAAAGAGAGAGCAAAGUUGGAAGGACUUGUACUUCCUGAUUUCAAAACUUACUACAAGUACAAUAAUCAGAACAGAAUGGCACUGGCAUAAAGCAGGGCACCUGGAUGGCUCAGUCAGAUAAUUUCAUUUACAAACUGUUUCCAAACUUAUAAUUAUCAAAUGAAGAAGGAAAUAAAUGGAAACAUCAUUACCUUUACACUGAGGAGGGUCACUACUCCACUUGUUAUUCCCAACACAAAUAAGUUUGCUGUCUCCAACAAGUGAAAAUUCGUCUGAUCCUUGUGAAGGAUUACAACUGUUUACCCUUGAGCUUCAUAGUUUCGAAUUUUGGUGGUUCACCACAGGCAUCUAGUAGUAAGACAACGAGAAUAUGAAAAUGAAGUAUUUAUCUCUUUCACCAGCCAAGGCUCUGGUCUGGCAGCAGAGAACUGUUUCUCCCUGAGCAGCUACUGUUUCUUUUCAGACCCUACUAAAAAAACUCAGAAGAUUUUUCUGCAGCAGCCUGGUUUCAAGGUCAAUGGAUGAACAAGCAAGGCCAUACAUUCCUUACCCAAGAUAAGGAGUCCAAGACCCAAUCCAGGUUAUACUGGCUCUCAGAGCAGACCCAUAACCCCUUCUCCUUGUCCUAAGAUAACUGCAUGAGGCCGGGGUGCUAAAUUUUGCCUCCUUCUGAUGCUAAGUAUCCACCCCAAAGGGAACGUGGGAUAUAUGCUUACGGUCACUGAAUGCACAUGCUCUACCUCUCCUCAUGAUUAGUUGUAAGUUUCCCCACUGUUUUAUCAAUAUGUGUAUAAUCCCAACCCUAUGAUUAUUAAAAAAAAAAAAAACCAAACUUGUUCUUGCCUCCCUCAGAGAGGGGGCUUUGGGGCUUGUUCUCCCAUCCCCUCCUUGGGUUGCCUCUCAAAUAAACUUUCCUCGCUGCAUAUCCGA